CCAGCACCAGGAUUGUGAUCUGUGCAGUAAUGCUGUGUAUUGAGGACUUUUCUCCUCAGGCACUUUACAUCAGGAUGUUGUGGUCUCUCCUCACUAAGGGAGAUGUUCUUGGUUGUGCUGUGUGCAAUGUGGGAGCAUGCAUGGUGCCCUGCUGAAGGAGGAGUCCUGCCUGGCAGCCUGCAGCAAUAGGGAGAAUCCUAGAAUGGCCUGGGUUGAAAAGGACCACAGUGAUCAUCUCAUUCCAACCCCCUGCUAUGUGCAGGGUCGCCAACCAGCAGACCAGGCUGCCCAGAGCCACAUCCAGCCUGGCCUUGAAUGCCUGCAGGGAUGGGGCAUCCACAGCCUCCUUGGGCAAACCACUGUUAUGUCGUCAUGGACAUCCAAGUGAGUGUCAGCAUGCCCAGAUUUGGAGCUUAAGGGAAAGUUUGAAAGCGAACAGAGAUCGGUGCCAGAAGGGUGGUGUCAUGGAGGUGAUCCGGCCUUGCUGCUCAGGUCCCUGCAGGGCUGCAUUGCUGGGCUCGCUGUGUGCAUCACAAAUGGGGCUCCUCAGAGCCAGCUGAGUGCUGUCAGCAGUGGGAACCUUCUCACCUGCCUUCACCUGUUUAAAUUCAAGUCAGUGUUUCAUCUGGCUUUAGAAUCGCAGAACUGUUCAGUCUGGAAAAGCCCUGUGAGACCCCCAACCCACCCCCC
rnacentral:lncRNA from 1 species